GUCCACGCCGUAAACUAUGGAUGCUAGCUGUUAUUAGUAUCGACCCUCGUAGUAGCGAAGCUAACGCGUUAAGCAUCCCGCCUGUGGAGUACGAGCGCAAGCUUAAAACAUAAAGGAAUUUACGGGGACCCGCACAAGCGGUGGAGCGUGUUGUUUAAUUCGAUGCUAAGCGAAGAACCUUACCCAGGCUUGACAUCCUUGGAAUUUCUCCGAAAGGAGAGAGUGCUUUAUUGAGCCAAGUGACAGGUGCUGCAUGGCCGUCGU
rnacentral:rRNA from 1 species